rnacentral:rRNA from 1 species
UACGUAGGGACCGAGCGUUGUCCGGAAUCAUUGGGCGUAAAGAGCGUGUAGGCGGCCUUUUAAGUCCUGCGUGAAAUCCUGCGGCUCAACCGCAGACGGUCGUGGGAAACUGGGAGGCUAGAGUGCGGGAGAGGAGAGUGGAAUUCCCGGUGUAGCGGUGAAAUGCGCAGAUAUCGGGAAGAACACCCGUGGCGAAGGCGGCUCUCUGGAACGCAACUGACGCUGAGACGCGAAAGCGUGGGGAGCAAACAGG